AUACCAUGGUGUGGGCAUUUCCUCAACAGCUUUUGAACAUUUCCCAUGUGUCAGGAACAGCCUCAUCGUCCAUUUGUUUGAAAAGACAGAUCUUGUUCCUGGACU